rnacentral:lncRNA from 1 species
UGCCUCUCUAAACUCCUCAUCUCUCAAAAUCUCUCUAGUCCUCUUCGAAACCCUAAUCUUCUCCUACUGGUUUCUGUCAUGUUUCCGCUGAAAUCCAUGGUAUUCCUGGCCAUGGAUGGCAUGUGCUCACUCUCUCUUACCAUUAAACUUAAGAUUCUUGAAGUUUGGAGGCCUGGCUUCAAGGACUCUUUUUAGAUCCAUCUUAGAUCAGUAGAUCUAGGGCCUCUCCAGCCAUUUUCUGGCGUGUUUGAGCAAUAUGAGUCUCUUCGACUCAGGAUCCGAUUUUCUUCAAGACCUUUCUCAUUCUAGGGUUUUUUCCUAAUAAUAUAGGCC